rnacentral:rRNA from 1 species
CUACGGGAGGCAGCAGUGAGGAAUAUUGGGCAAUGGGCGCAAGCCUGACCCAGCCAUGCCGCGUGAAGGAUGAAUGCCCUAUGGGUUGUAAACUUCUUUUUUACGGGAAGAAACUCCUGAACGUGUUCGGGAUUGACGGUACCGUAUGAAUAAGCAUCGGCUAACUCCGUGCCAGCAGCCGCGGUAAUACGGAGGAUGCAAGCGUUAUCCGGAUUUAUUGGGUUUAAAGGGUGCGUAGGCGGGAUAAUAAGUCAGUGGUGAAAGCCUGUAGCUUAACUAUAGAAAUGCCAUUGAUACUGUUGUCCUUGAGUACAGUUGAGGUAGGCGGAAUGUGUAAUGUAGCGGUGAAAUGCUUAGAUAUUACACAGAACACCGAUUGCGAAGGCAGCUUACUAAGCUGGUACUGACGCUGAGGCACGAAAGCGUGGGGAGCAAACAGGAUUAGAUACCCCGGUAGUC